ensembl:lncRNA
ACUCCCAGUAGAGCAAACACCCUGUAGACUGGCAAAACAUGAAGUCAGGUUGGCUCCUACCAGAUAGUUGAAGACAGGUGAACAUUUCCCAACCCACAUCCAGCAUUACCAGGUGCAAAUGGGCUCUAAGAAAGAUGCUCAUGGGAGAUGUGGAGGGAGGAAAGGAAGCAGUACCUGUACUGUUCCUCAUUCACUCUGUUGCUUACCUGCUGGCACAUCUCAUUGGUGUGAGACGGUGGCCAGCCUUACAGCUGCCUCAUCAUGCCCGGAUCCUCCAGAUUCUCUGAUUCACGAAUAAGAAACCAAUAGGACAUCUACAAAGUCCUAGAUCCUGACUGCAAUUCUGUGUGUCUAAGAAUAAAUGAGAAGAAACCAGAACACAAUAAAAAAGAGAAAAGGAAAUGAUCAAACUCUGCAGGAUAUUUGUAGCAUAUUUUUAGUGACCUCAAAUUAUGAGAUUAAAAAUGGAAUGAAAAGGAAAUGGUCUCGAAGCUCAUAUAUGAAUAUGGAUUUUCUGGAAGAGUGAAAAUGCUGCGGGAUACUAACUCAACUGUCUUUAUUUCACUUCUCAGUAUUCAUACAUUCUGCUAACACGCUAUACCUUCAACUACUAGAUGGGUAAGAAAGGACUAAACAGAAAGGUAAUAAUAGAUCACUCUUUCUGUUUCCUUUAUGUCAUGAUUGCUAGCACAUGUGAUCAGCUAAACAAGCGUAAGAAAGGAUGUGAUAGAGUUCCUUACCUGUUCUUGUUUCUUAGAAUUCCAUUGUUUUCUAUCUACAUUUGAAGCAAGUUCUCCUGCAAAAGGAAAGCAUGACCUCUCACGGCUGUCAGACUGCCUUAGUCUUAGACCUAAUUAAUACACUUUUCUUGUACUUGCUUUGAGUCUCAGUGAAUUCCUAUGCUUUGCUCAAGGGUCAUUAUGAACACUUGAUGAGAAUGGGGCAGAAUCGAGUCAGCAAUCAUGCAUACUGUAUGUAUCUUCCCUGCUCGUGCACGUGUUCCAUUGUUCUUUUUGGUUUCACAUAAAAAACACGAGUUUGAGAAUAAAAUUAAGAAUCUUAAAUUGGCAAAAGUAGAGAAUUAAAUCAAGCCCAAGGCUCUCCUGAGCACUUUGCAUGCCCAUAAAUCCAGCCCUGGGGGCAAAAGACUAAUACUCCUAACUUUUCCUUAACUGUUGUCUUGAGAAACUGCUUCUUCCCAAUAAUUAUUUCUUAUUUUGACCACAGAGCUAUUUCAGAAAAUCUUUUUGGGAUCAGCAAAGUCUCCUCCAAUUUAUAAUCCUGCCUCACAGAAACAAGGCAGCAAGACUAACAGCAGGGCAAUUUAUAACUCAUCCUCGUAGAAACGAGGCAGUGAGACUAACCGAAAUACAGGGAAAUACACAUGGAGAAAUAACCUGGCUACCUGAGUUGAAGACUUUUUAUUAAAUUAGAGAUGAAGAUAGAAAUGAUUUGCAUUGAUAUCUUGAUGACUAUUACCAAUUUUAACCUCAGUCACUCAGAAUUCUUCAACAAUGAUUGUUAUAGCUAGUCCAUUAUCUAUUUCUUAUUUUGGGCAGAGGAAAUCCAAGCCCACAGGGCUCCCUCAUCAACCAGGAAUCGAGAUGGAAGAACAGUGCAAGAGGAAAUAGGCUACAUGUUACCCCUGACUUUUUUCAAUACAGGGCAUAAGACACUGGGACACAGCAAGCCUCUUCUUAGGAGAUCAUAGAGGGAUGUAAAGAUUGCGUCUUUCCUCCUUUGAGUUGCAACAGUAUCAUUUUGGGGAAUACUGCCUUAGAAUGUGGCUUAUUUUAAAGAAAUUUCUUGGUGAUAGUAUCAGGAUCUUAUAUGGCCUUUUGUAUAUGUUAGCUAG